rnacentral:rRNA from 1 species
UACAGAGGUCCCAAGCGUUGUUCGGAUUCACUGGGCGUAAAGGGUGCGUAGGCGGUCGGAUAAGUCUGAUGUGAAAUCUUCGAGCUCAACUCGGAAACUGCAUCGGAAACUAUUCGGCUGGAGGAUUGGAGGGGAGACUGGAAUUCUCGGUGUAGCAGUGAAAUGCGUAGAUAUCGAGAGGAACACCAGUGGCGAAGGCGAGUCUCUGGACAAUUCCUGACGCUGAGGCACGAAGGCCAGGGGAGCAAACGGG